rnacentral:rRNA from 1 species
UACGUAGGGUGCGAGCGUUAAUCGGAAUUACUGGGCGUAAAGCGUGCGCAGGCGGUUUUGUAAGCCAGAUGUGAAAUCCCCGGGCUUAACCUGGGAAUGGCAUUUGGGACUGCAAGGCUGGAGUGUGGCAGAGGAGACUGGAAUUCCUGGGUGUAGCAGUGAAAUGCGUAGAUAUCAGGAGGAACACCGGUGGUGUAAACGGCUCUCUGGACCGUAACUGACGCUGAGGCACGAAAGCGUGGGUAGCAACAGG